GGAGCUCUCCCAUAUGGUCGACCUGCAGGCGGCCGCGAAUUCACUAGUGAUUGUUUGAUCCUGGCUCAGGAUGAACGCUAGCGACAGGCCUAACACAUGCAAGUCGAGGGGUAUAAGUAGCUUGCUACUUAGAGACCGGCGCACGGGUGAGUAACGCGUAUGCAACCUACCUUUUACUGGGGGAUAGCCCAAAGAAAUUUGGAUUAAUACCGCAUAAUAUAUUUGAAUCGCAUGGUUUAAAUAUUAAAACUUCGGUGGUAAAAGAUGGGCAUGCGUAGCAUUAGUUUGUUGGUGAGGUAACGGCUCACCAAGACUAUGAUGCUUAGGGGGUCUGAGAGGAUAGUCCCCCACACUGGUACUGAGACACGGACCAGACUCCUACGGGAGGCAGCAGUGAGGAAUAUUGGUCAAUGGGCGCAAGCCUGAACCAGCCAUGUCGCGUGCAGGAUGACGGCCCUAUGGGUUGUAAACUGCUUUUUUACAGGAAUAAACUUUGCUACGUGUAGCAAACUGAAGGUACUGUAAGAAUAAGGAUCGGCUAACUCCGUGCCAGCAGCCGCGGUAAUACGGAGGAUCCAAGCGUUAUCCGGAUUUAUUGGGUUUAAAGGGUCCGUAGGCGGGCUUUUAAGUCAGUGGUGAAAUCCCAGAGCUCAACUCUGGAACUGCCAUUGAUACUGAAGGUCUUGAAUUUAGUUGAGGUGGGCGGAAUACGUUAUGUAGCGGUGAAAUGCAUAGAUAUAACGUAGAACACCGAUUGCGAAGGCAGCUCACUAAGCUAACAUUGACGCUGAUGGACGAAAGCGUGGGGAGCGAACAGGAUUAGAUACCCUGGUAGUCCACGCCGUAAACGAUGAUUACUCGUUGUGCACGAUACACUGUGCGUGACUGAGCGAAAGCAUUAAGUAAUCCACCUGGGGAGUACGUUCGCAAGAAUGAAACUC
rnacentral:rRNA from 1 species